rnacentral:rRNA from 1 species
ACGGAGGGGGCGAGCGUUGUCCGGAUUUAUUGGGCGUAAAGAGCGCGUAGGCGGGUUAGUUAGUCUGCCGUGAAAGCCCGGGGCUCACCCCCGGAGGGUCGGUGGAUACUGCUAGUCUUGAAUCAGCUAGGGGAAGAUGGAAUUACCGGUGGAGCGGUGAAAUGCGUAGAUAUCGGUAGGAACACCAGUGGCGAAGGCGAUCUUCUGGGGCUGCAUUGACGCUGAGGCGCGAAAGCUGGGGGAGCGAACGGGAUUAGAUACCCCGGUAGUCCCAGCCCUAAACGAUGGAUACUAGGUGUCAGGGGUAUCGACCCCUCUGGUGCCGCAGCUAACGCAAUAAGUAUCCCGCCUGGGGAGUACGGCCGCAAGGUUG